AACAAUAGUAAAUUGAGAUGCCA
rnacentral:siRNA from 1 species